rnacentral:rRNA from 1 species
GGCAGGAGUCUGACAACGAUAAACACUGCAGUCGACGAUGACUGGAGCUUGCUCAGGGAUUAGUGGCGAACGGGUGAGUACACGUGAGUAACCUGCCCUUGACUCUGGGAUAAGCGUUGGAAACGACGUCUAAUACCGGAUAUGAACUGUGACGGCAUCGUCUGCAGUUGGAAAGAAUUUUGGUCAAGGAUGGACUCGCGGCCUAUCAGGUAGUUGGUGAGGUAAUGGCUCACCAAGCCGACGACGGGUAGCCGGCCUGAGAGGGUGACCGGCCACACUGGGACUGAGACACGGCCCAGACUCCUACGGGAGGCAGCAGUGGGGAAUAUUGCACAAUGGGCGAAAGCCUGAUGCAGCAACGCCGCGUGAGGGACGACGGCCUUCGGGUUGUAAACCUCUUUUAGUAGGGAAGAAGCGAAAGUGACGGUACCUGCAGAAAAAGCACCGGCUAACUACGUGCCAGCAGCCGCGGUAAUACGUAGGGUGCAAGCGUUGUCCGGAAUUAUUGGGCGUAAAGAGCUCGUAGGCGGUUUGUCGCGUCUGCUGUGAAAUCUGGGGGCUCAACCCCCAGCCUGCAGUGGGUACGGGCAGACUAGAGUGCGGUAGGGGAGAUUGGAAUUCCUGGUGUAGCGGUGGAAUGCGCAGAUAUCAGGAGGAACACCGAUGGCGAGAGCAGAUCUCUGGGCCGUAACUGACGCUAA